UAACGUCAACAGAAAACUAUCAUCAUCUGUGGUUCAUUCCCCCAUAUGCAACAGCUCAUACACCCAUAAGGCAAAGGCUACAAGCACUCAGUAAAGUGAAGCAAAGAGUGCACCCAUUUUUACAGCCAAGCUGUUAAGCUCUCGGUGGUCGGCAUCUUUCGUGUCCGUCCAUGAACAAAGAUUACUAUCAUCAGCGUUGGUUCAUACCUCCCUAAGCAAGCAAAAAUGCAACGGCUCAUCCCCCUCGUAAUGCAGAGACUACAAGCACUCAACAAAGAGCACCGAACAGGGCAUACAUUCAUUGAAAUCACUCAUUCAACGUACAGAACAGCGUACGUUUCAAUAAAGAACAAGUUUAAAACAAGGAUCUAUGAUUGUGCUCUGUUUAUUGCUGCCAUUCCGCUUCCCCUUUAUUUACAGAUUAUCUUCGUGGGUGCUUGAGUAAAUCUUUCCACCGUUUAUGUAUACGCCGAGGCAUUUAUAUUGCUUGACUAUGGGCAUGGCUUGCUGUUGAAUUGACACCACGUAAUUACUCGUCUCUUCAUAAAAGAUCAUAACACGCGAUUUCUCUCUACUAAACUUCAGGCCUAGAUUUGUCGUUGCGUUGCCACACAUAUUCGCAAGUUUCUGUAAAUAUCUUGCAUUGUCCGCUAGUUGCACUAUGCAGUCCGCAUGCAUCAGUCUAGGAUCUUGUGUUGCACCCUUGACCCAUUAUGCAUUUAGGGUAAACCAAACCCUAAUUCAGUGAUUUCCAGUCGUGUUUCUAUGCCAUUAACAUAAAGCGAUAAGGAGAGCAGUAGCCGCCUCGUGGAGGCUAUUGUAACCAUAAGAGUGACGCCAUGCCCUCCGAGAUCGGACCGCGCGGCGCUCGAUUGCAGAGGCCAUGGGAACGCCAUAAACAGGCUGAGCAGGUUAAGCAAUCAUAGCGCCCUAACUUCAUUUACGUAACAUCGAUGCUGUGUGGCUAUUGGGUGCCUUCGCAUGACGUCAUGGGAGAGUACAAUGUAGCAUCUAGAGCCAAGAAGAUUCGAGUUGAGGGUUACUCUCAUUUUGCUAAUUAUCAUAAUUCAUUUUGUUGUUAGUUCUUCGUCAUGUUAGCAAAAGACCUAGAGUGAAAAUGGUGACCUUAAGGAAGUGUUGUAGGGCCCUUGAACCUAUGUCUUUGAUGGAAUAGCACAUUAUAUUCAGUCAUUAUUUUUUAAUUUAGUUGAUUUUCUAUGAUUUAGGCCUUCUGUAUGUGCCACUUAGUGUGUGCCUAUUAUUGACUGAUCCUCUUGAAUGGGUAUGUGCCAUGCUAGAAAAGGCAUUAUCCACAUUGAAACAAAAAAGGGUAGUGAAAUGUCCUCAGUGCAACAAAUUUACGCCUUCACGCACAUAAUUCUUUCCUGAGGUUUGGCGAGUCUGUGCAGUCAUCUUGCCGAGUAAGGUGGGUUGGUCCUGGAGAUAGUGCAACACAAACAGGGCUGAUCCCGGUGAUGGCUUGAUGAAAAGUGGGCCUAAAAAGGAUACAGUGCAAUUCGUAGUUUUAUUUAUUUAUUUAUUUAUUUAUUUAUUUAUUUAUUUAUUUAUUUAUUUAUUUAUUUAUUUAUUCUAUACUGCUGGCCUGGGUGCCAGGCCUUAAUCAGGAGUGAUCAUGCAUAAUUGUUUUUUUGUUUGCAAAGAGUUGCAACACAACGCCACAACGACAUGGUGAAAAAUACAAACAUAACUGAACACAGAGAAAAAAAAGAACAUUGCAUUAUCUAUAAUGACAUGUAUCAUUAUACAACCAUUACAAUGAGAAAACAAAAACAGGAUUGGUUCCUGAGUGCAUUUAUGAAUAACUCGACUGUUUCCCAUUCUACAAUAUCAGCUGGUAGAGAAUUCUAUUCACGGGUUGUUUUCGGAAAAAAAAAAUGAACCUUUCAACGUAUCAGUGCGAUUUAUAAAAUCUACAACUUUCUUAGGGGGUCAAAAGCGCACUGUACCCUCUGGGGCUGGUUUUGCAUACAACGCCUUACCAAUUCAACGCGCCGUGGUUGCUCAGUGGCUAUGGUGUCGGGCUGCUGAGCACAAGGUCGCGUGAUCGAAUCCCGUCCAUGGCGGCCGCAUUUCGAUGGGGGCGAAAACACCCGUGUACUUAGAUUUAGGUGCACGUUGAAGAUCCCCAGGUGGUCGAAAUUUCCGGAGUGCUCCACUACGGCGUGCCUUAUAAUCAGAAAGUGGUUUUGGCACGUUAAACCCCAUAAUUUAAUUUUUUUAAUUUACCAAUUCAAAUUUUAUCAUGAAAAUCUAAAUAAAAGAAUUUCAACCUUUCCGUACUUCUUUGUCGCCCUUCAAGUUCCGUUUCUGUAAGAGGAGUGAGGGUGACGUCUGCCAGCUAUAACAAAGAAAAAUGGUAUAGAUUUUCUUUGAACUCUGUCUAGCUUUCUUUAUGUUGAGCACAGUAAAGGGAUUCUACAAGACAGCUGCGUAUUGCAACGACGGUCUAAUAAAUGUCGUAUGUGUGAAAAGUUUUAUGUCCGGCGUGGCCUUUUCAGGUCUCCUCCUUAGACAACAGAGCAUUUUUCAUGGUCCCUUCUUCAAUUUACUCCACAUGGUCAUUCCAUUUUAAGUCAGGUGUGAGUAAUAAUCCCAAGUAUUUAUGUCUAGUGACCUCUGACAGAGCAUGAUCAUCAGUGCGGUAAGUAAACAAAAAUGAUUAUUUCUUCCGCCUCACUCUCAUUAUGACUGUUUUUUUUGCAAUUAUUUGUCAUCUGCCAAUUUAUAAACCUGCAUGUGUGCAAUGUGGAUAAUGCUGUGUUUAAAGUUCCUUGAUCACUCGGACCGCGAAUUUCUUCAUAUAUAGUAUGCAAUCGUCUGCAAAACGUUUUGUUUCUACACAUACAUUUUGUACGAAGUUAUUGAUGAGUAACAGGAAAAACAAUGGCCCUAAAAUUGACCCCUGUGGGAAUCACGUGGGCAGCGUAGUGGGAGUUCCGCGUCUUGAUAUUUUACAAGGCAGGCACCAAAUCGCUAUGCUGCAAAACGCGGUUGCGCAAGAUUAAAGAUGUUGUAGUAUUUAUUUAACCGCUUCACGAAAGCUUCGCUUCAGAGACUCAACAUGUGGAUUGGAUCUGCAUAAUUUUUCAGACUUUCUGUGCAGCUCACGAAUACCUCCUUAGUUUUCUUCAAAAUUAGUUUGUAAUUGUUCAUAGAAUAUGAAGUGAACGUAAUGUUGCUUAAACAAGUUUGAAACAGGACUGUUUCGUUCUGGAGUUAAACUAGAACUGAACGUUUUUUUAACAGGAACGAAAACUGUAAUGAGAAAAGUUCCAGUUUGACACUCGCACUGCUCACACUACAAGCACUGCGCCAAAUGACCGAUAAUAACGAAUAAACUGUAGUAUACUUGAGGAAAUAAUUUGCUUUCGGGUUUUCUAAGCACUGAAAAAAAUGCAAAUGUCACGAUUUUAUAGGUCUCUAUGUAUUCCAUUUCAAAAACAGGUUCUCAUACACGGUAAAUGCCCAUUCAGUAUUCUAUACAAUGUUUAUAUUCUAUAUGUAUAUUGUUCACAUGUGAAAUAAACAGCUCUAAAAAAAGCUUACUACGUUCACUACGUAUCACUACCUAUCACUUAAGUCACCAUGACAAAAAUAAACACGAAAGCACCUUGAAUCUCGCAGGCCAUGAAUUGCGGAUGGCACUUUGUUGCAAGGUCAAUAGAUGACGCUUGCAUCCCGCGAUAAAAGAGCGAGCUUGAAUCAUGACAUUUACCCCCAUUCCGUUUCAAAGCGAAUGCCAGUAUCACACUCGAUCACCAUCCACUAAAUGCAGGUUUGAAGCUUUACUAGGCAAAAAGGAAAAGCGCGUACGUUAGCACGUAUUUCACGAAUUAUAUAUGAGGGCGCAUGUGCCGUGUGUGAUUGCUUGCUGUUACAGAACAGCGUUGAAUUGUCACCUACACACUCUUCUCAAGGUCACUUGGCAGUCUUGAACGUUGAAUUGAUGAGUCGAGGCUCACAAGUGCUGUUCUUAGUAAUUUAGCUUAGUUAAGGUAAUCAAAUAGUCAAUAAAGCAAAAAUUUUUUCAGUUUUUUUUCUUUUUUAUAUGAUCGUUUUCGCCAUCUAUAAUAAUUUAAAUGUAGAUCUCUACGAUCUAUAGAAUUAAGUCAUAUUUUGUUGCAGUAGGGCUUUUGUGUGGCAUACAAGAAGAAGUUUGUGAAAUAUGCUCCACCUCUCUCCUAUUAUUAACGCAACACCAAUAUGAGGAUGAUGAAGGCCUCUGCAAGUAUAUAACGCGUAUUUUCAGGUCGCCUACUGAACGAAGGUGUUCCACCGCACCGAGGCUUGUGACGCUUGGGUGAUCAAUCCGCUUCUCCAGCUGUGGAGACAUAUGUAUCCGAAGGGUCAUGACGGGUUUCAUUGAAAGCGUCCAGCGAACGCGGCGCCGAGGCCAAAAACGCACUCAUGAGGCGUUCGUCAUUGAAAUGCACUGUAUGAGAUGCGGGUAAAUGUGGCACCGUGUCACCCUGCGGUGUCUCUUCUUGCCUGCUUUGCAAAUGCGUUCUGUUCGGCUUUUGGAUCACUGCCUUGCGUUUAUCAUUCGCCUUGGUCGCAGUGCGUCAUGAAGCGCUGCUGUAGAAGCAUUUGAUGCAACCCAUACGAGAUGCUUACAUCUAUUUUUAUACAAAUGACUACGGAAAGUAUGCUAGAGAAACAGCUGGUUUGUUGGCCUUAGGUGUUGAGUUCACCUCGUGUCCUCUGUAUUUGUUCUUUGGGCAGGUCAGCAAUUACUAAUUCGUCUACAUUAACCCACCCAUCGCAUGCCGCACACAAAUUUCUUGGGACUUCAGUUCGAGCAUGCUUGUAGAAAUGUGCUGAACACUCUCAGUGCCAUUUGCAAUAUCAAGAUCUGCAAAUAACAGCGUUGUAAUGAAUGAGCCACGGUCACUGACCCUACUUUCACUGUCGCCCGUAAUUCAACUACAUCUUUGCCUUGCCGCUCACACAGCGACUGCACCCACUGUGUCGACACGGGCUUCCUGCCUCGAUGCACCAGCCUUGUAUCGAAGCCCUUCGACAACCUCCUCCUGCUGUAGCAAACGGGAAAACCACACGUUUCCGCUGAGGCAAGUUGGAUCCACAUACGCAGCUGCGGCGCAGGCUGUCUAGACUCUCGCGUGCAUACGUCGCGGCGCCAAAACAAUCGCGCGACGCCUCAUUCACCAGUGCGAGCGCUGUUUGUGGCUUUAGUUCCCUCUGCUUUCACUGGGCCUGACCUUGCUAUCCAUGCGAAAAAAGAAGGCAGGCGCGUCUGUGCCAUACGCUUCCACACUUUCUGAGGCUUGAAGACAGGCAUUCGGCCCCGAGUGCAACCGUUCAUCUACACUGCGUUGGAAAUGCCGGACGGCCAGGGUUUAGGUUCCAGUGGACAGCACAUAUCCUACGCUCCGGUUGUGGUUGGUUCCGAUGACAGAGAACUUGUGGCGAUCAGCAAGGAUGAGACGACCGAAACCGAUAAACUGUCGCAGGGCGUCGAUGGAGUGGACUUCACUGGCACGUACUCACCGGUUGACAAGAAGAAAAGCAUUCUGGAAAGACACAAGAGGAAAAUUUGUCUCCUUCCCAUGAUCCACACUCAGUUCUGGGUGGCUGCAGCGUAUUCACUUUUGGCGCCACUUUUUCCGGCUCUGGCUGUUUCCAGAGGUCUUGAGGCCUGGGAGUAUGGAUUUGCUUUUUCUUUGGGAAAGAUAACCACAUUAAUAGGGUCAGCAUGGGCAAAAAAACUGAUACAGCAGACAUCUCCAAAAUCUGUAUAUCUUAUUGGACAAGUGGGAUACUUCCUGGCAAACGCGGUGUAUGGUGCCUUGUACUGGAUUCCUGGAGACUACAUGAUGUUAGGUGUUGCUUUGUUCGGAGGUGCAUUAGGUGGGUUGAGCGAAUCUCUUUACUGCGUCGCUAGUUAUGCAACAGCCACCGUUGUACUGGCGGACCACCUUGGCUUUGCUGUCGCUGGGAUGCAAGUCCUGUGGGGAUUAGGCGGAGCAACGGGUGCCACACUUGGAGGCGCAAUUGCAGACCUCUGGGGAUAUCCUGCGUCAUUCUUCGUGAUGUCAUCGGGGUUUAUGCUGUCCUCUCCUUUUAUUGCGAAGUCACGGAUCUUCCGAAGAAACCGAAAACCUGCAGCUGGGGAUCCACACGCAAAUGGCGAGAAUACCUGUGGGGAAACCAAUAUGAAGCAUUAUUGGCUGCUUCGGGAUGCUAGGUUCAUUUCUUAUUUGUUCAACUUAUUCCUCAAUGGGCUAAUAUUUGGAUUCCUCGAGCCAACAUUAGAGCCUUAUCUAAAUCAGUUUCAUCACAGUAAUUCAGGCAUUGGCAGUGUCUUCAGCGUAUACGCCCUGACUUUCUGCGUUGCUUCUGCUGUGUGUGGUUUUAUCUGCCACUGUAAGGCUGAGAUCCGUUGCCUGCCGCUCGCCCAUCUGUUCAACAUAACGGGCUUCAUCGUGAUAGGCCCAGCGCCGUUCCUGCCAUUUCAACCCACCAUGAACCUUAUUUACGUUUCCCAAGUGCUGCUGGGUGCAGGAGUCGCAUCGAUGCACGCGCUUUCAUACUCAACUGCAAUCAAGCGCGCAAUCGCUAAAGGUUACAAAGAAGACAUUGACACAAGUAGCUUCGUGUGUGGUGCAAUAUUUGCCGCAUACGUCAUAGGAUGAUUGCACUGUUACUACUCCAGAAGAAUUCAAGGAGUGCACACUGACCUAACUGCCCGACAGUUGCCUGCAGAAUGCUGCGCUGCACAACGGGAACAUAUCGUAGACUUUCCACAGAUCACAUCACCAAAUUUCUGCCGUCUUCUGCACUGAAGUGGCUUGGGACUAAAGGGCCGGACAGCAUGUAGGAAAUGACCUACUUCGACAUGCGACGGAAGACAGUCACCCUAUGAAGAGGAUUUUUACACAUUGGAAAUUUCCGAGACGGGCCACCUGGAGUAUUUCGGUCCCAUUUUCGGUAAUCUUAAUCAAAAGUGGCAGAUCGUCGCUUGAGAUGGCCGCACCAAUAUCAUAAUGACGCCUGUAGUAACCUCCUUUUCCCAGCGGGCUGAUGGUACGACGUUCAUGCCACCGAGGACAAUGGCAGUGAGCAGAGAGUCUAACACCGACACUUGAGCGACGUCUACAGGAACAAUAUUGUUCAGUGAGCUGACUCUGACGUCCUCAAUUCCAUUUGUUUGGCAAUAGCGUCUCAAAUUCAACCGAUGCAACUUGCCUGAUGAGGAGCCUCACGCUGUCGGAGGGUAGCGCAGGUAUGGAGAGCAUAGUGUACUUCGGCAAACUUUGCGGAGUCCUCAUGGUAGAUGUGUCCAAAGAGGCCCUGAGAAUCCACCGCUUUGCUUUCUGACUCAAGAGAACCACACAGUCGGCGUCGGAGCUGUCAUCGCUCUCGGUCGAGUCUACCAGGAUGGCCUCACUGUCGCUAGAGAGGCAGUUCCACUUCCUUGAGGCUGCCGACGCUGGUAAAUCAGGUGGGAGUGCGAAUGACUCCACUUCUAUUCCCGUGAAGCAGGGAACAGUGUUCCCGGUAAAAAAAGCGAGAGUUACCAGAAGAUCCUGGUGACAGCGAACGAGCACUCGGCAACAAAAUCACUCCGAGGACUUCAAACUGUUCAAACCUCGACAAUGCGGCUAUGUAGCUCGCGGAUUCAAUUAUUUUGCCAUCGAAUCAUUCUUGAGAAGCCAGCUGAGAAUCUUCUGAGGGAUAGCUUUAUCGCAAAAGAAUAAUAAACGUUUGUUUUCAGGAACCAUGCAAAGAAGUCUCGUGCUUAUAUACUCGUUCUAUUCAUUCUUAAUGCAGUCUGUGGAAGAAAGCUGAAGAUGGGCUUCACCCCAAGUGACCUAAGGCUUUGUUUGGAAUGUCUCCAGACAGCUCUCGUCAUAUGUGAACCAUAGGUGUACAUUUCAUUUGGUUUCCAUCUUGUGUGUGAUACCACUACGGCAGGAGACCUUGCAUUGGUCGUCUCCUGUGACUGUGCUUUCAAAAGAAAGCGAAUCGCCUGCCAAACUUCUUCCUCGCCCUGUGUUCAUUCUCUAAACAAACAAAUGACACUUCAUGCCUGUAAUCCAUUGUUGGUCAAAGAUAGUUAGCCCAAACAUCGUACUCAAUACCGUAACUCGGCAAGAAAGAAGUGUUUUUCUUGUGCGUUCCCUAUAGGCAACACUGCUCAUUUAAAGGGCUUUAAUAAGAGCUGUGCUUUAGAAGUUUCCUUGCUCACAUUAACACAACACGAAGAUACCGUGAAAAUCUGUUCGCCAUAUUAGAAGUCCGUCUUAACAGAAUCGACCCACAUGGCUAAUCUGCUGUAGAAACAGUAGAGGCAAGACUGAUAAAAUAGACGGACACAAGCACUUGUGUCUGUCUCUUCUGUCAGUACUCCGACCGCUGUUGCGUUGCUUUUACAAUGAACUACUAGUAAGCCGUGAUGCACAUCUUGCAUUAAUAUACUAUUACAGAUACAGUCAAAUAUUCACGACGCAUAAGAAUAGGUGAAAUAUCGUCAAAAUCACAAAUCACAUGUAUAGAAAGAUAUUUAUUUGAAUAAAUAAAUAAAUAAAUACAAUGUAUUGAUUUACGCACUAUUGUUUAACUCAUUGUGUAGGUAUUGCUUGAGUAUACGCUGUGCAAGCCUAUGCGCAGUCAGAGCGAAAGAAAUAUAUAGAGAUGGAGGAAAUGCAAGGAGGGUAACCAGGCGCUCCUCUGGUUUGCUACCCUGCAAUAGUGGAAGGGGUAACGGAUUUAUACUCCACUUAGCCUGCCCAAAAGUUCUUCAGAGCCGUUAUGUUAUUGAAAAAAAGUGCACUAAACUAUUCGACACUCUAACAGCCGCCACACAUACGAGCAACAGUGAUUCUACAGAGGCACAUCGGGGAUCUUUUCUGGCUCACUAUAUAGAUGGCGAGUUGAGUGCCACCAGUGGCAUCCGUGGCCAAGGCUGACCCUUGAUUAAAAAGCAUAAGCCUGUGCACAAACUCUGCAGAGAGUAUUUGUGAUGCGGUUCUCAAUUAUUGUUUUGGUGAAGUCAGCCGUGCAAGUUUCCGCGUUGUCGUCCACGUCGGUGUAGUACCUUAUGUCUACAGGAACACCGUUUGCUUAUCGUGUAGCUAGCAGAGUCGCCUCCACAGCCCAGUAGCAGGAAUCAGUGGAGUCUGCAUAAGCUCGGCUUAGCCGAAUUUUCUGUUCGGGUUAAGCAGAUGUUAUUUCACCCAUUGGUACCAUUCGAAGCUGACUACAUAUUCACAUAUUGUUCACCGUAUAUAAAAAUCCGGCUUAAGCUGGCAUGUCUUAAACGAAGUGUACUGCAUUCGUAAGACCAAGGCUAGGGCAGCAAUUAAGGGAUAACGAGGGGGAGGGAAGCCUUAUUUUGGUGCCCUUGUCUUUUCCUUCCUCUGAUCUCUGCCAAUGCGGGAGGCAUUUGAUUUCGAGCGAUGAGAGAGAUAUUUGAUGAUUGUCGAAUCUAUAACCUUUACGUACAAACAUUAGUUGUCUCAUUUCACUGUCUCAUUUUCACCCAAAGGCUUUGCAGUGGAGAUUUUUUUUUUUUUUUUGCAAUGCAAUGUAUUUCUUGUGUACAUAAGACAGAUGAAGAGUUCUAUGGUGAAAGCCGUGUUUAAAGCGUGAGUUUAAAACACAAAAAGUUAGUAAGCUAAGUUCCUACCAAAAUAUUCGUUCCGAUUUGGCCGUGUUACCCCACCUAAAAUCAAAUUCGGAAAUCGAAGUUUUAUUAUUCUAUGAAAACAUAGCAAGCUACACCUGAAGAGCGAGUGGGCUAACAUAAGCAACCAGGAAUUGCGCAAGUCCGGUGACAAUUUUACAAGAAUUCAGCGUUUGGUACGGAUGUAUUGUGGCCGAUAAGGCCUGACCAGAUGCCUACGACUCUGAAAACCAGCUUCUCGCUGAAUUUUGGU